rnacentral:rRNA from 1 species
UACGUAGGCAGCGAGCGUUGUUCGGAGUUACUGGGCGUAAAGGGUGUGUAGGCGGUUAUUUAAGUUUGGUGUGAAAUCUCCCGGCUCAACCGGGAGGGUGCGCCGAAUACUGAAUGACUUGGAGUGCGGGAGAGGUGAGUGGAAUUCCUGGUGUAGCGGUGAAAUGCGUAGAUAUCGGGAGGAACACCUGUGGCGAAAGCGGCGCACUGGACCAUAACUGACGCUGAGGCGCGAAAGCUAGGGGAGCAAACAGG